rnacentral:rRNA from 1 species
UACGUAGGGUGCGAGCGUUAAUCGGAAUUACUGGGCGUAAAGCGUGCGCAGGCGGUUCGUUAUGUCCGAUGUGAAAGCCCCGAGCUCAACUUGGGAAUGGCAUUGGAAACUGGCGGGCUGGAGUGUGGCAGAGGGGGGUGGAAUUCCACGUGUAGCAGUGAAAUGCGUAGAGAUGUGGAGGAACACCAGUGGCGAAGGCGGCAUCACUGGCCCGGUACUGACGCUGAUGUGCGAAAGCGUGGGGAGCAAACAGG